GACUACUGGGGUAUCUAAGCCUGUUUGCUCCCCACGCUUUCGCGCCUCAGCGUCAGAAACGAGCCAGUGAGCCGCCUUCGCCACCGGUGUUCUUCCCAAUAUCUACGAAUUUCACCUCUACACUGGGAAUUCCACUCACCUCUCUCGUCCUCUAGCUCGACAGUCUUGAAGGCCAUUCCCGGGUUGAGCCCGGGGAUUUCACCCCCAACUUAUCGAACCGCCUGCGCGCGCUUUACGCCCAGUAAUUCCGAACAACGCUAGCCCCCUUCGUAUUACCGCGGCUGCUGGCACGAAGUUAGCCGGAGCUUAUUCCCCCGUUACCGUCAUCAUCGUCACGGGUAAAAGAACUUUACAACCCUAAGGCCUUCAUCGUUCACGCGGCAUGGCUGCGUCAGGGUUGCCCCCAUUGCGCAAGAUUCCCCACUGCAGCCGCCCGUAGG
rnacentral:rRNA from 1 species